UACAGAGGUCUCAAGCGUUGUUCGGAUUCAUUGGGCGUAAAGGGUGCGUAGGCGGCGUGGUAAGUCGGGUGUGAAAUCUCGGAGCUUAACUCCGAAACUGCAUUCGAUACUGCCGUGCUUGAGGACUGGAGAGGAGACUGGAAUUUACGGUGUAGCGGUGAAAUGCGUAGAUAUCGUAAGGAAGACCAGUGGCGAAGGCGAGUCUCUGGACAGUUACUGACACUGAGGCACGAAGGCCAGGGGAGCAAACGGG
rnacentral:rRNA from 1 species